rnacentral:rRNA from 1 species
UACGUAGGCAGCGAGCGUUGUUCGGAGUUACUGGGCGGAAAGAGUGCGUAGGCGGUUUUCUAAGUUUGGUGUGAAAUCUCCCGGCUUAACUGGGAGGGUGCGCCGAAGACUGGAAGGCUUGAGUAUGGGAGAGGUAAGCGGAAUUCCUGGUGUAGCGGUGAAAUGCGUAGAUAUCAGGAGGAACACCUGCGGUGUAGACGGCUUACUGGACCAUCACUGACGCUGAGGCACGAAAGCGUGGGUAGCAAACAGG